rfam:Alicyclobacillus macrosporangiidus strain DSM 17980 genome assembly, contig: Ga0104483_168
UCUGGUGGUGAUAGCGGAGGGGAAACACGCGUACCCAUCCCGAACACGACCGUUAAGCCCUCCAGCGCCGAUGAUACUAGGGGCGGGAGCCCCUGGGAAAGCAGGACGCCGCCAGGC